rnacentral:tRNA from 1 species
GGCCCUAUGGUCAAGCGGUUCAAGACGCCGCCCUCUCACGGCGGAAUCAGGGGUUCGAUUCCCCUUAGGGUCACCA